rnacentral:rRNA from 1 species
UACGGGGGGGGCAAGCGUUGUUCGGAAUUACUGGGCGUAAAGGGCUCGUAGGCGGCCAACUAAGUCGGACGUGAAAUCCCUCGGCUCAACCGGGGAACUGCGUCCGAUACUGGAUGGCUUGAGUUCGGGAGAGGGAUGCGGAAUUCCAGGUGUAGCGGUGAAAUGCGUAGAUAUCUGGAGGAACACCGGUGGCGAAGGCGGCAUCCUGGACCGACACUGACGCUGAGGAGCGAAAGCGUGGGGAGCAAACAGG